rnacentral:tRNA from 1 species
GAUUUGUGGCUCAGUGGUAGAGUGCUUGCCUAGUAUGCAUAGGGUACUGGGUUUGAUCCUCAGCACCA